CCUACGGGAGGCAGCAGUGAGGAAUAUUGGUCAAUGGGCGUAAGCCUGAACCAGCCAAGUCGCGUGAGGGAUGAAGGUUCUAUGGAUCGUAAACCUCUUUUAUAAGGGAAUAAAGUGCGGGACGUGUCCCGUUUUGUAUGUACCUUAUGAAUAAGGAUCGGCUAACUCCGUGCCAGCAGCCGCGGUAAUACGGAGGAUCCGAGCGUUAUCCGGAUUUAUUGGGUUUAAUGGGUGCGUAGGCGGCCUUUUAAGUCAGCGGUGAAAGUCUGUGGCUCAACCAUAGAAUUGCCGUUGAAACUGGGAGGCUUGAGUAUGUUUGAGGCAGGCGGAAUGCGUGGUGUAGCGGUGAAAUGCUUAGAUAUCACGCAGAACCCCGAUUGCGAAGGCAGCUUGCCAAGCCAUGACUGACGCUGAUGCACGAAAGCGUGGGGAUCAAACAGGAUUAGAUACCCGAGUAGUC
rnacentral:rRNA from 1 species